GAGCUGUCAAGGUCAGGGGAGCUCUGCUUGUGGAUGAAGAGAAUGAGUCCCUCCUCAGCGGUGAUGUGCCUGGGAUGGUUUUCAGAAAUGGUCAAAAAGGGAAAUACUCAAGUAUUUUCAUCUUACGCUUCCAGGUUGUGUCUGAGUGUUGCAGAAAAUGGGCAGAUGUUUGGAACUGAAACUGGUUCUUAUGAGGGACCUGUGGCUUGGAGAUUACCCCUCAGCACCGCUGUAGGGGAAGCUGAUGCAUCACCCUGAGCUGCUUGGUCUGGCUUCACCAGAAACAAAAUCCGUCUCUCUGUCGGCAGUUAAAUCCAGCUCAACUCCCGAGCUGAUGAUGAAGAUGAUAAACUAUUCAUAAACAUUGUUUCCUGAUUCUGGUAUGCAGGCUUGAAGGGAUGCUGCUGUUCCAGCCUUGGGGAGCAGCUGUUUAGUUGUACGUUGGGGAAGUUGCUUUCAAAUAAAGGUCUCUUUGUCUCUCUAGAGCUGGUGUGCAGAAUGUUGUGUGAAAAUGCCAGAUACUUGCUGACUGGAGAACUUGAAACUUCUGAGACGUGACAGCAGAGGGAGCCAUUGAGAUUUGUU
rnacentral:lncRNA from 1 species